rnacentral:rRNA from 1 species
CGGGGAGGUAGUGACGAAAAAUAACGAUACGGGACUCAUCCGAGGCCCCGUAAUCGGAAUGAGUACACUUUAAAUCCUUUAACGAGGACCAAUUGGAGGGCAAGUCUGGUGCCAGCAGCCGCGGUAAUUCCAGCUCCAAUAGCGUAUAUUAAAGUUGUUGCGGUUAAAAAGCUCGUAGUUGAAUCUGUGUGUCACAGUGUCGGUUCACCGCUCGCGGUGUUUAACUGGCAUUAUGUGGUACGUCCUACCGGUGGGCUUAGCUCCUUGCGGGCGGUCCAACUAAUAUCCCAUCGCGGUGCUCUUUACUGAGUGUCGAGGUGGGCCGGUACGUUUACUUUGAACAAAUUAGAGUGCUCAAAGCAGGCUACCUUCGCCUGAAUACUCUGUGCAUGGAAUAAUGGAAUAGGACCUCGGUUCUAUUUUGUUGGUUUUCGGAACCCCGAGGUAAUGAUUAAUAGGGACAGAUGGGGGCAUUCGUAUUGCGACGUUAGAGGUGAAAUUCUUGGAUCGUCGCAAGACGGACAGAAGCGAAAGCAUUUGCCAAAAAUGUUUUCAUUAAUCAAGAACGAAAGUUAGAGGUUCGAAGGCGAUCAGAUACCGCCCUAGUUCUAACCAUAAACGAUGCCAGCUAGCGAUCCGCCGAAGUUCCUCCGAUGACUCGGCGGGCAGCUUCCGGGAAACCAAAGCUUUUGGGUUCCGGGGGAAGUAUGGUUGCAAAGCUGAAACUUAAAGGAAUUGACGGAAGGGCACCACCAG